GCGGGUGUAGCUCAGGGGUAGAGCACUAGCUUGCCAUGCUAGGUGUCGUGAGUUCGAAUCUCAUCACCCGCUCCA
rnacentral:tRNA from 5 species